GACGAACCGUGCGAACGUUGUUCGGAAUCACUGGGCUUAAAGGGCGCGUAGGCGGGUUCGUAAGUCUGUGGUGAAAGCCUCCAGCUUAACUGGAGAAGUGCCGUGGAUACUGCGAAUCUUGAGGAGGGUAGGGGCGUCUGGAACGGUCGGUGGAGCGGUGAAAUGCGUUGAUAUCGACCGGAACUCCGGUGGCGAAGGCGAGGCGCUGGACCCUUUCUGACGCUGAGUGCGCGAAAGCCAGGGGAGCAAACGGG
rnacentral:rRNA from 1 species